rnacentral:tRNA from 1 species
GCAAAUGUAGCCAAGUGUACCAAGGAAGUGGAUUGUGAAUCCACCAUGCGCGGGUUCAAUUCCCGUCGUUCGCC